GGCCAGACUCCUACGGGAGGCAGCAGUGGGGGAUAUUGGACAAUGGGGGAAACCCUGAUCCAGCGACGCCGCGUGAGUGAAGAAGUAUUUCGGUAUGUAAAGCUCUAUCAGCAGGGAAGAAAGAAAUGACGGUACCUGAGUAAGAAGCCCCGGCUAACUACGUGCCAGCAGCCGCGGUAAUACGUAGGGGGCAAGCGUUAUCCGGAAUUACUGGGUGUAAAGGGAGCGUAGACGGCGACGCAAGUCUGGAGUGAAAGCCCGGGGCCCAACCCCGGGACUGCUCUGGAAACUGCGGCGCUGGAGUACGGGAGGGGCAGGCGGAAUUCCCGGUGUAGCGGUGAAAUGCGUAGAUAUCAGGAGGAACACCGGUGGCGAAGGCGGUUUACUGGACCACAACUGACGCUGAGACACGAAAGCGUGGGGAGCAAACAGGAUUAGAUACCCGGGUAC
rnacentral:rRNA from 1 species